UACUGUGUGAGACUUUGUCAGUAUUACAGAUGCAAGAAUUCAGUUCUCAGUGAAUCCAAGUGACGGAGAGGAUGCACAAAUCCCUGCAUUUGUUCAUCCUUUGCUUACAACUAGACUGGGUGAGCAGUAAACAGCAUGUGAAUCAGAGCCACGAAGCCCUGAGCGUCCGAGAGGGAGACGGCUUGGUUCUCAACUGCAGUUACACCGAUAGCGCUAUUUACUUCCUUCAGUGGUUUAGGCAGUAUCCUGGGAAAGGGCUUACUUCUCUGCUGUUAAUUCAAGCGAACCAGGGAGAACAAAUAAGUGGAAGAAUUAAAGCCUCAUUGGAUAAAUCGUCAAGAAACAGUGUUUUCUACAUUGCAGCAUCUCAGCCCAGCGACUCUGCCACCUACUUCUGUGCUGUGAGGCACAGUGCAUGACAGACACCUGUCACCAGUACCCAAACACUGCAUCUGGGACUCUAACCGCCCUAUUUUGAUGCUGAGGAAACUUUUUCCAUUAAGGGGUUUUCUGCAUUGACUCUCCCUCCAGAUAGAGGCAAUUAACUAUACAACAUCUGGGAAAAUGAUCUGAAAUUAAAUGAAUUCUGUGAUCUUUAGAUUUUUAUCAACUUCAAUUUAAACCAUAGUUGUAUCGAUGUUAAUAUUCCACACAGUUCGCUCUCUUUCUUUCUUCCUUUCUUCCUUCCUUCCU